CACUUUGAAACACCCGUUCAUGUACGAUCACCGAAGUUAAGCAACCUCGAGCCUGGUUAGUACUUAGAGGGGUGACCACUUGAGAAUACCAGGUCUUGUG